rnacentral:rRNA from 1 species
UCCUGGCUCAGGAUGAACGCUAGCGGCAGGCUAACACAUGCAAGUCGAGGGGCAGCGCGGAUAGCAAUAUCUGGCGGCGACCGGCGAAAGGGUGCGUAACGCGUGAGCAACUUGCCCGUAUCUGGGGGGAUAAGCGGUGGAAACGCCGUCUAAUACCCCAUAACAACAGAGGCCGCAUGACCUUUGUUGAAAGCUUCGGUGGAUACGGAUAGGCUCGCGAGACAUUAGCUUGUUGGUGAGGUAACGGCUCACCAAGGCUACGAUGUCUAGGGGUUCUGAGAGGAAGGUCCCCCCACAUUGGAACUGAGACACGGUCCAAACUCCUACGGGAGGCAGCAGUGAGGAAUAUUGGUCAAUGGACGGAAGUCUGAACCAGCCAUGCCGCGUGCAGGAUUAAGGCCCCUAUGGGUCGUAAACUGCUUUUGUGGUGGAGCAAUAAGACGUACGUGUACGUCGAUGAGAGUACAUCACGAAUAAGCAUCGGCUAACUCCGUGCCAGCCGCAGC